rnacentral:rRNA from 1 species
GAGUUUGAUCCUGGCUCAGAACGAACGCUGGCGGCAUGCUUAACACAUGCAAGUCGAACGGUGGCUUCGGCCACAGUGGCGCACGGGUGAGUAUCGCGUGGGAACCUGCCUUGGAGUUCGGAAUAACCGCGGGAAACUGCGGCUAAUACCGGAUAUUGCCUUCGGGUGAAAGAUUUAUCACUUAGAGAUGGGCGUGCGUCUGAUUAGGUAGUUGGUGAGGUAACGGCUCACCAAGCCGACGAUCAGUAACUGGCGUGAGAGCGCGACCAGUCACACGGGCACUGAGACACGGGCCCGACUCCUACGGGAGGCAGCAGUAAGGAUAUUGGUCAAUGGACGCAAGUCUGAACCAGCCAUGCCGCGUGGAGGAUGAAGGUCCUCUGGAUUGUAAACUUCUUUUAUCUGGGAAGAAAUGCUUUUUUUCUAAAGAGCUUGACGGUACCAGAUGAAUAAGC